UCAAGCCAUCUGUAACCCUAUGCUUCCAAGAAGUCAUCAUCUUCUUCACCCAACAACCCUAGUCAAAACUCAACAUUGUCAUCAUCUUCUCUACUACAACCCAUCGGAUAACCCCAUUAAUCCCCUCUUAUUACAUCAAGACCGAUUCAAUUACUUUAUACCAAGAAGAAAGGGCAUAAUACUUUGAACAAUUGGAGAUUGGAGAAGAAUUGGGGUCGAUUUGGCUUUAUUAAUUCAAUAUAACAACUAUAAAUGUUCGAUUAUCAUUAAGUUUUUGCUCAUCAGAUGCUUGGAGAUAUGCUCUUGCAGUAACACCAUUGGGAAAAGGGUUGUUCUGGCCGGCCCCCGCCCAUCUGGAGGUGCACACCCAUUUAUGAACAUAUACAAAGGCUAAAGAGAGAAUUCCAUGGAGAACUACCAAAUCCAAUGACUUUGAUUUGUUCGUACCAUUCUGUCAUUGAUCACUGCUGGAUCGGUUGGUGAGUCACCAAAAAAAAAGCAUCGAGAAAGGUCAAGCAUAUAGGUUUUAUGAAAUGAUCAGCGGUUUCAUUUAUGUUAUGCUCUGCAUCGUGUUCGUCUGUGUUUAUUGAGCUUUCAUCGCCAUGCGCUUUGCUUCGCGGCAAAGCAAAACCAAGAGGAGGUCAUAGAUACGAAUCACUCUUUCUCGUAGGGCAUUUUUUUUGUAGUAAUGUAUUUUGGUCUUCAUCGUUGCCCACGGAGCGGUAACGGGCGGAAAGAGCUAUGAUAGGCAAGGUCGGCCCAAUACAUGGGUGAAUUGGGCAAAGGCCCAGGACAGCAAAUCAUAAGGGGCAUCAUUUUGGUCUAAUAAGUUGUAUGUUCGACAAUUGGUUCUUGACGGUAACUGGAAAAAAGAAAGAUGUAGUAAUUUCAAUCGAUGUUGGCAAGCAGAGGCGCGAGAAUUGAAAUGCUUGAAUCUGUUAUUGACGCUACUCGCCUAGAAUAACGAAGUGGUAAGACUCAACACUCGAGAAUCAAGAUGUAGAAAACGAGGAGUCGACUCUCUCUUUUCGAUUUCUUUAUGAAAACACACAAUUUCUGUAUACCUUCGUCCCUCUUUUAAUCAAUUUAUGAAUACCCUCUCAACCUCUGUUCCGAUGUCUUAUGCAUACACAAUUUAAGGAUACCCAAUUCUAAAAAGUGAAAGACAAGAGUUGGAGACAGACUUAACACUUCACCCUUUUCAAGUAUGCUUUUCUUUUGAUUAACCUCAGUUCAGAUUUUUAUUAACUAAUUUGCUGGAAGCCUGGAGUUACAUUUGUUUUAUUGUUCUUAUGAUUUCUAACGGUUUUUUUUUUAACAUUUUAAUUUUAUUUGAUUAAUUUGCGUACGUAUACUUGAUUCAGGAGGUAUAAGUUUCUAUCUAAAGUUCUAAUUAUGACAUAAUUAUGUUUAAAAUUUCAGAUUAUUGAGCCAAGUUGUCGAACCUCAAAGGUUUGGUAAUUUUUUCUUAAAUUUGAUUUUGGUUUUUGAUGAAUACCUAGAAUAAAAUAGCAUGUACGUUCUCUUUUUGACAAACACUACUUUCUAUCGGUCAUAUUCUCAAAUUUUCAUUCACAUAUUCUCAAUUUCUCAUUCUUAUUGUAAAUAUUUAUUUUUUAGUGAUUUCAUAGGUAAAGAGGGUUAACGUCUUAAUUAGACUGGAAAUAAAAUCGAUGAUUAAAGUUUCAAAGUUUGAGAUUCAUUAAAUCUUGAAACUCGAUAUGUUUUGUGGUUGGAAUCAAAGUUUAGAAACGGAGAAAGUAAAAACUCAGAAGUACACUAUUAUUGUUUGUCUCAUUUGCAUUGUACAUUGUAAUUUUGGGCAUUAGUUAAGUUGUUUUUCUCACCUACUGAUUCAAUAUGUUUGUUUUUCAGUCUGAAUUAAAAGUUGUGUGUUUCCAUGAGUUUGAUGUGUUUUUGACACAAAUUUAUGGUAAAGGAAAUUCUAUUUUGCACUUUGGUUUUA